UGGAAUUGACGGGACGUGUAGCAGCGUCUGUGCAUGCAAGCGCGUAGGAUGAGCGCUUUGACUCCGAAUUCCUCAACAAUUAAUUGGCGAUUAUAACUACGCCAUGGCAGCCUAAUCCCCAAGUUUAGUAAGGAUUACUCAUCCCAUACCAUGUAUGGGACUGUCACAUCGCUCCGACCGUUUGUUUUGUGUGGUUGGAAUCCGCGGUGUCAUAAUACGAAACUGGUUGUGCUAGAGCUACGAUAGCGCAAUGAGAUUAAGUAGAUAAGGAAGCAAUAGGGUGUUUUACUCCGGCUGCUUUUCGAAAACCUAAGUAAAACUAAGCAUGUAGUACAUACGUUUAGUUGCCUUCACCGGACGGGGGUUCGAUUCCCCCC
rnacentral:tmRNA from 1 species